rnacentral:rRNA from 1 species
UACGAAGGGGGCUAGCGUUGCUCGGAAUCACUGGGCGUAAAGCGUCUGUAGGUGGUUAAGCAAGUCAACUGUUAAAUCUUGAGGCUCAACUUCAAAAUCGCAGUCGAAACUGUUUGACUAGAGUAUAGUAGGGGUAAAGGGAAUUUCCAGUGGAGCGGUGAAAUGCGUAGAUAUUGGAAAGACCACCAAUGGCGAAGGCACUCUACUGGGCCAUUACUGACACUGAGAGACGAAAGCUAGGGGAGCAAAUGGG